CAACGGAUAUCUCGGCUCUCGCAUCGAUGAAGAACGUAGCGAAAUGCGAUACCUGGUGUGAAUUGCAGAAUCCCGCGAACCAUCGAGUCUUUGAACGCAAGUUGCGCCCGAGGCCAUCCGGCCGAGGGCACGCCUGCCUGGGCGUCACGCCAAAAGACGCUCCC
rnacentral:rRNA from 1 species